rnacentral:rRNA from 1 species
UACGUAGGGUGCGAGCGUUAAUCGGAAUUACUGGGCGUAAAGCGUGCGCAGGCGGUGAUGUAAGACAGAUGUGAAAUCCCCGGGCUUAACCUGGGAACUGCAUUUGUGACUGCAUCGCUGGAGUGCGGCAGAGGGGGAUGGAAUUCCGCGUGUAGCAGUGAAAUGCGUAGAUAUGCGGAGGAACACCGAUGGCGAAGGCAAUCCCCUGGGCCUGCACUGACGCUCAUGCACGAAAGUGUGGGGAGCAAACAGG